GUCUACGGUGAUACCACCCUGAACACAGCCAAUCUCCCCUGAUCUCAGAGGCUGAACAGGGUCAGGUCUGGUUAACAUUUGGAUGGGAGAACUCGCCUACUAGAUUGAAAAUCUUGCUCUGAAGGAA
rnacentral:rRNA from 1 species